rnacentral:rRNA from 1 species
UCUGGUGAUUCGAGCGGUGUGGCACCACCUCUUCCCAUCCCGAACAGAGUCGUGAAACGCACCAGCGCCGAUGGUAGUUGGACCCAACUCGGUCCUGCAAGAGUAGGCCAUCGCCAGAA